rnacentral:rRNA from 1 species
UACGUAGGGUGCAAGCGUUGUCCGGAAUUAUUGGGCGUAAAGAGCUCGUAGGCGGUCUGUUGCGUCGGCUGUGAAAACCCGGGGCUCAACCCCGGGCCUGCAGCCGAUACGGGCAGACUAGAGUUCGGCAGGGGAGACUGGAAUUCCUGGUGUAGCGGUGAAAUGCGCAGAUAUCAGGAGGAACACCAGUGGCGAAGGCGGCUAUCUGGACGGUUUCUGACACUAAGACUCGAAAGCGUGGGGAGCAAACAGG